rnacentral:rRNA from 1 species
UUAAGUGACUAAGCGUACACGGUGGAUGCCCUGGCAGUCAGAGGCGAUGAAGGACGUGCUAAUCUGCGAAAAGCGUCGGUAAGGUGAUAUGAACCGUUAUAACCGGCGAUGUCCGAAUGGGGAAACCCAGUGCAAUUCGUUGCACUAUCGUUAACUGAAUACAUAGGUUAACGAGGCGAACCGGGGGAACUGAAACAUCUAAGUACCCCGAGGAAAAGAAAUCAACCGAGAUUCCCCCAGUAGCGGCGAGCGAACGGGGAGCAGCCCAGAGUCUGAAUCAGCUUGUGUGUUAGUGGAACGGUCUGGAAAGUCCGACGGUACAGGGUGAUAGUCCCGUACACCAAAAUGCACAGGUUGUGAACUCGAAGAGUAGGGCGGGACACGUGGUAUCCUGUCUGAAUAUGGGGGGACCAUCCUCCAAGGCUAAAUACUCCUGACUGACCGAUAGUGAACCAGUACCGUGAGGGAAAGGCGAAAAGAACCCCGGCGAGGGGAGUGAAAAAGAACCUGAAACCGUGUACGUACAAGCAGUGGGAGCACCUUCGGGUGUGACUGCGUACCUUUUGUAUAAUGGGUCAGCGACUUAUAUUCUGUAGCAAGGUUAACCGUAUAGGGGAGCCGCAGGGAAACCGAGUCUUAACUGGGCGUUAAGUUGCAGGGUAUAGACCCGAAACCCGGUGAUCUAGCCAUGGGCAGGUUGAAGGUUGGGUAACACUAACUGGAGGACCGAACCGACUAAUGUUGAAAAAUUAGCGGAUGACUUGUGGCUGGGGGUGAAAGGCCAAUCAAACCGGGAGAUAGCUGGUUCUCCCCGAAAGCUAUUUAGGUAGCGCCUCGUGAACUCAUCUUCGGGGGUAGAGCACUGUUUCGGCUAGGGGGUCAUCCCGACUUACCAACCCGAUGCAAACUACGAAUACCGAAGAAUGUUAUCACGGGAGACACACGGCGGGUGCUAACGUCCGUCGUGAAGAGGGAAACAACCCAGACCGCCAGCUAAGGUCCCAAAGUCAUGGUUAAGUGGGAAACGAUGUGGGAAGGCACAGACAGCCAGGAUGUUGGCUUAGAAGCAGCCAUCAUUUAAAGAAAGCGUAAUAGCUCACUGGUCGAGUCGGCCUGCGCGGAAGAUGUAACGGGGCUAAACCAUGCACCGAAGCUGCGGCAGCGACACUAUGUGUUGUUGGGUAGGGGAGCGUUCUGUAAGCCUGCGAAGGUGACCUGUGAGGGUUGCUGGAGGUAUCAGAAGUGCGAAUGCUGACAUAAGUAACGAUAAAGCGGGUGAAAAGCCCGCUCGCCGGAAGACCAAGGGUUCCUGUCCAACGUUAAUCGGGGCAGGGUGAGUCGACCCCUAAGGCGAGGCCGAAAGGCGUAGUCGAUGGGAAACAGGUUAAUAUUCCUGUACUUGGUGUUACUGCGAAGGGGGGACGGAGAAGGCUAUGUUAGCCGGGCGACGGUUGUCCCGGUUUAAGCAUGUAGGCUGGUUGUCCAGGCAAAUCCGGAUAAUCAAGGCUGAGGUGUGAUGACGAGGCACUACGGUGCUGAAGUAACAAAUGCCCUGCUUCCAGGAAAAGCCUCUAAGCAUCAGGUAACAUUAAAUCGUACCCCAAACCGACACAGGUGGUCAGGUAGAGAAUACCAAGGCGCUUGAGAGAACUCGGGUGAAGGAACUAGGCAAAAUGGUGCCGUAACUUCGGGAGAAGGCACGCUGGUGUGUAGGUGAAGUCCCUGCGGAUGGAGCUGAGACCAGUCGAAGAUACCAGCUGGCUGCAACUGUUUAUUAAAAACACAGCACUGUGCAAACACGAAAGUGGACGUAUACGGUGUGACGCCUGCCCGGUGCCGGAAGGUUAAUUGAUGGGGUUAUCCGUAAGGAGAAGCUCUUGAUCGAAGCCCCGGUAAACGGCGGCCGUAACUAUAACGGUCCUAAGGUAGCGAAAUUCCUUGUCGGGUAAGUUCCGACCUGCACGAAUGGCGUAAUGAUGGCCAGGCUGUCUCCACCCGAGACUCAGUGAAAUUGAACUCGCUGUGAAGAUGCAGUGUACCCGCGGCAAGACGGAAAGACCCCGUGAACCUUUACUAUAGCUUGACACUGAACAUUGAGCCUUGAUGUGUAGGAUAGGUGGGAGGCUUUGAAGCGUGGACGCCAGUCUGCGUGGAGCCAACCUUGAAAUACCACCCUUUAAUGUUUGAUGUUCUAACGUUGGCCCCUUACCGGGGUUGCGGACAGUGUCUGGUGGGUAGUUUGACUGGGGCGGUCUCCUCCCAAAGCGUAACGGAGGAGCACGAAGGUUAGCUAAUCCUGGUCGGACAUCAGGAGGUUAGUGCAAUGGCAUAAGCUAGCUUGACUGCGAGCGUGACGGCGCGAGCAGGUGCGAAAGCAGGUCAUAGUGAUCCGGUGGUUCUGAAUGGAAGGGCCAUCGCUCAACGGAUAAAAGGUACUCCGGGGAUAACAGGCUGAUACCGCCCAAGAGUUCAUAUCGACGGCGGUGUUUGGCACCUCGAUGUCGGCUCAUCACAUCCUGGGGCUGAAGUAGGUCCCAAGGGUAUGGCUGUUCGCCAUUUAAAGUGGUACGCGAGCUGGGUUUAGAACGUCGUGAGACAGUUCGGUCCCUAUCUGCCGUGGGCGCUGGAGAAUUGAGGGGGGCUGCUCCUAGUACGAGAGGACCGGAGUGGACGCAUCACUGGUGUUCGGGUUGUCAUGCCAAUGGCACUGCCCGGUAGCUAAAUGCGGAAGAGAUAAGUGCUGAAAGCAUCUAAGCACGAAACUUGCCCCGAGAUGAGUUCUCCCUGAGACUUUAAGUCUCCUGAAGGAACGUUGAAGACGACGACGUUGAUAGGCCGGGUGUGUAAGCGCAGCGAUGCGUUGAGCUAACCGGUACUAAUGAACCGUGAGGCUUAACCUU